rnacentral:tRNA from 1 species
GCAAUGGUGGUUCAGUGGUAGAAUCCCAUGUUCCAUGUGGGAGACUCGGGUUCGAUUCCUGGCCAAUGUA